rnacentral:rRNA from 1 species
CUACGUAGCUCUAGAGUUUGAUCCUGGCUCAGGACGACGCUGGCGGCGUGCCUAACACAUGCAAGUCGAGCGGGGACAGUGGAGAGCUUGCUCAAAGCUGUUCUAGCGGCGGACGGGUGAGUAACGCGUGAGCAAUCUGUCCUGCACAGGGGGAUAACAGAUGGAAACAUCUGCUAAUACCGCAUGAGACCACAUGACCGCAUGGUCGAGGGGUCAAAGGAGAAAUCCGGUGCAGGGUGAGCUCGCGUCCGAUUAGCUAGUUGGUGAGGUAACGGCCCACCAAGGCGACGAUCGGUAGCCGACCUGAGAGGGUGAUCGGCCACAUUGGAACUGAGACACGGUCCAA